rnacentral:rRNA from 1 species
GAUGAACGCUGGCGGCGUGCCUAAUACAUGCAAGUCGAGCGGUAAGGCUUUACACAGUUUGUUUAAACGGCAAAGACAGGUCGCGAUUACGAAGUAAUCGUUUCUUAUACGAAGAAUAAACGCUUCGGUCUAAACCACUCUUUAUCUGGCUAGAUAAACGAGUUUGAACAAAGUGUGUAGAGUACACGAGCGGCGGACGGCUGAGUAAUGCAUUGGAACGUACCCCAAACUGAGGGAUAAUCCACCGAAAGGUGGACUAAUACCGCAUGUGCCAUUCGUGGUAAAGCUACGGCGGUUUGGGAGCGGCCAAUGUUCGAUUAGCUAGUUGGUGAGGUAAUAGCUCACCAAGGCUACGAUCGAUAGCGGGUCUGAGAGGAUGAUCCGCCAGACUGGAACUGAGACACGGUCCAGACUCCUACGGGAGGCAGCAGUAGGGAAUUUUCCACAAUGGGGGCAACCCUGAUGGAGCAACGCCGCGUCGCGAGGAUGAAGGCCCUCGGGUCGUAAACU